rnacentral:rRNA from 1 species
GACGAACGCUGGCGGCGUGCUUAACACAUGCAAGUCGAACGGAAAGGCCCUGCUUUUGUGGGGUGCUCGAGUGGCGAACGGGUGAGUAACACGUGAGUAACCUGCCCUUGACUUUGGGAUAACUUCAGGAAACUGGGGCUAAUACCGGAUAGGAUCUACUGCUGCAUGGUGGGGGUUGGAAAGUUUCGGCGGUUGGGGAUGGACUCGCGGCUUAUCAGCUUGUUGGUGGGGUAGUGGCUUACCAAGGCUUUGACGGGUAGCCGGCCUGAGAGGGUGACCGGACACAAUGGGACUGAGAGACGGCCCAGACUCCUACGGGAGGCAGCAGUGGGGAAUAUUGCACAAUGGGCGGAAGCCUGAUGCAGCAACGCCGCGGGCGGGAUGACGGCCUUCGGGUUGUAAACCGCUUUCGCCUGUGACGAAGCGUGAGUGACGGUAAUGGGUAAAGAAGCACCGGCUAACUACGUG